AAUAGAUACCCUGGUAGUCCACGCCGUAAACGAUGGAUGCUAGCUAUUGGGGGGAAUCGACCCCCUCCGAAGCGAAGCUAACGCGUUAAGCAUCCCGCCUGAGUAGUACGAGCGCAAGCUUAAAACUCAAAGGAAUUGACGGGGGACCCGCACAAGCGGUGGAGCGUGUGGUUUAAUUCGAUGGUAAACGAAGAACCUUACCAAGGUUUGACAUCCCGGUAGCCGUUCUCCGAAAGGAGAAUUUCAUUUAGUUGGACCAGUGACAGGUGAUGCAUGGCCGUCGUCAGCUCGUGUCGUGAGAUGUUGGGUUAAGUCCCGCAACGAGCGCAACCCUUAUGAUUUAGUUGGAUUUUUCUAAACAGACUGCCCUGGUAACAGGGAGGAAGGAGGGGAUGAUGUCAGGUCAGUAUUUCCCUUACACCUUGGGCGACACACGCGCUACAAUGGCCGGUACAAUGGGCAGCUAAGCCGCGAGGUGGAGCAAAUCCCAUCAAAGCCGGUCCCAGUUCGGAUUGCAGGCUGAAACCCGCCUGCAUGAAGCCGGAAUCGCUAGUAA
rnacentral:rRNA from 1 species